rnacentral:rRNA from 1 species
GACGAACGCUGGCGGCACGCUUAACACAUGCAAGUCGAACGAGAGAAGAGAAGCUUGCUUUUCUGAUCUAGUGGCGGACGGGUGAGUAACACGUGAGCAAUCUGCCUUUCAGAGGGGGAUACCGAUUGGAAACGAUCGUUAAUACCGCGUAACAUAAUUGAACCGCAUGAUUUGAUUAUCAAAGAUUUAUCGCCGAAAGAUGAGCUCGCGUCUGAUUAGCUAGUUGGUAAGGUAACGGCUUACCAAGGCGACGAUCAGUAGCCGGACUGAGAGGUUGAUCGGCCACAUUGGGACUGAGACACGGCCCAGACUCCUACGGGAGGCAGCAGUGGGGAAUAUUGCACAAUGGAGGAAACUCUGAUGCAGCGAUGCCGCGUGAGGGAAGAAGGUUUUAGGAUUGUAAACCUCUGUCUUCAGGGACGAAAAAAGACGGUACCUGAGGAGGAAGCUCCGGCUAACUACGUG